rnacentral:rRNA from 1 species
AAAUAAAUAAAGAAUAGGUUAAAGCUUGUACCUUUUGUAUGAUGGUUUAAUUAGGUUAGGUGAAUAAAAUUUCACAACCCGAAGCUGAACGAGCUAGUGUAUUCUACUUUAUAGAGGAAAAGUUUUUACUGUUGCAAUAGUAAUGCUUGAGGGUACAUUAGAUGUGAAAUGCUUAUCGCGUUCAGGGAUAGCUGGUUCUUUUAGAAAUUGGUGUAAGCUAAGCACAUAUUUUUAUCGUUGGAAUAUUAUUUUAAGGAGUAAUAAAAGAGUAUUGAUAAUAAUAUAGUGGUAAGACAGGAAAGGAUAAGCUUUUCUGUCAAUAAAGAAAAAGCUUUAUUUAUUAAUUAAGAGGAAUCUUUAUAAAAUGAGUUAACGAUUGAAAAGGAGUAGGAUUAAUAGCAUCUACCUUUACAGAAGGCGUUAAAGCCCAUUUAUUUGAAGUAGGCUCAAAUAAUUUUGGAGGAUGGUUCUAGAUUAUAAAAUUGUAUAAAAGGGCUCCAUAGUUUUGGAGGUUAUAAUGUUAAAAUUAGUAGAGGUAGUAUUUUUUGUGCAUUAAUCAAUCCUAACAUUGGAUGGAAAAAUAGUUUUUAGUCGAGAAAUUAAUUUGUAAAUAUUGUCUUCUAACACAAGUAAUACGAAAAAAUAAAAAGUAAGGGAAAGGAACUCGGCAAAAGUAUAUUUCGCCUGUUUACCAAAAACAUCGCCUUUUGAAAAGAAUCUAAUAUAUAAAAGGUCCUGCCUGCCCAGUGACUUAGUUAAACGGCCGCGGUAUCUUGACCGUGCAAAGGUAGCAUAAUCAUUUGCCUCUUAAAUGGGGGCUGGUAUGAAUGGCAAGACGGAAAUUAAGCUGUCUCUCUCUUAUAUCUUGAAAUUAAUACCUUUGUGAAGAAGCAAAGAUGAAGUCGCAGGACGAGAAGACCCUAUCGAGCUUUAGCGAAGAUUGGGUGCGGCCUACUGACAAUACCUCUGGGCUGCUAAUCAGUCGUUACUAACGUCUAUUGGAGGUUACUAUCAGAGGUAUUGGGGUACGUGCCUUACGUUUAGGUUGGGGCAACCGCGGAGAAAACUGAUCCUCCGCUAAUUUUAUUGAGAAGAAAUUGUUUUCCAAUAUAGUUAUAUGAUAAUAAAUGAUCCAUCUUAUAAUGGUGAUCAGAAGAAUAAGUUACCGUAGGGAUAACAGCGUAAUUUUUUUGGAGAGUUCAUAUUGAUAAAAAAGUUUGCGACCUCGAUGUUGGAUCGGGAUUUCCUGGAGAUGCAGCAGUUUCCAAGG